CUUCCUUCCGUCAAGUUGCAGACUCCGGUUCCUGCCUGCUCCUUCCUUAGGAAAGUCUGCACGUACAAUGGAACUGCACUCAAAGCCCAACUUUUUCCGAAAAAGGAAAAGGCGAAACCAAACGACUAAGAAGCUCACAGGGCGGAGAUGCUGAGAGAAAGAAACCCAGCUACACUCUGCCUUUGUUGUCUGUGCUCCAAGGAAGAAAUUCCUGCCACUUUGGCCAAGAUGCCUGCUAGGUCCUAGUGCCUUUUGCAUACAUGGGCUUGCACGCCCCUGCACACAGAGAGAGAGAGAGAGACCUGCAGACCUCUUGGCUUGGCUUGGCUUCACGCUCAGGACCAAUUUCCUGGAUAGGGCUGCCUAUGAAAAAUGGAUAGAGCUUCCAUCACACCGAUGCAGCUGUCAUCUUGACUGUUUUGAUCGAGAAACCCCCGUUCAAAGAAAAACAGGUCCGUUCUGCUCCUCUGUGCUCCUUAUUCUGAUGCAGCUGAGAUGAAGUAGCUCUGAUCUUCCCAUUCAAAUACUUCUGCUACCAGCUAAGGUAAUCAGGAGAAGGCACAAGGGUAUCAAAAUGAUGACACAUGUCACACACUUCUCUGCACAUGGUCAAUUAAACAAUUGCACCUUGACGUCUGAUGCAAGUCCUGUCACUGACGAAGCCUGGGUGUCUUCAGCAAAACACAAUGAUGUCAAAAUGAUGAAAUGUACAUGAGGGCAUGGUCACCAAAAUGCCAGCCAGCUUCAAAGGCACGAUCUGCUUCAAAUGCACGAUCACUGCCCUUGCCUGCUAAUUCCAUUUUCAAUUCUUUGUUUUAUUUAUUACAGCUUUUCGCCAGCAAAUAAGUCAAAAAGGGAAGGAAAGAGUCAAAACAGAAAUGUACAACUAAGCAUAUAUAGCAAUCCCUUAAAUCGUAUUAUGGAUCCCUUGCUGAAGCCUUGAUGCCAAAUAAGAAAACUUUGGAACAUUUUAUGUUUGCACAAAGAGCAUUGUUAGGGAGCAAGUAAAUCAACGCCAAAACUGACUGAUUGUCUGUGGAUUGUCGCUAGAAGGGGAAAAACAAGAUUUCAAUGCAAUCUGGUAUAAAUAUGCAACACAGAAGAACAUGCAUUGGUGACUGACAAUAACUGGGCAGUUGGUUCAGCUCCAUCUGGAAUAACUGCUGGUCCAUUGGAUUCAUAGCUUGAGACCAACCAAGAUUAAAGAAAACACUUUGAAAAGGGGCACAUAAAAGUGCUUUCAGAAGUUGUGGGUGCUUCAUUACUGGAGGUUUUUAAGAGGAGACUGAAUAGUCACUUGUCUCAAAUUGUAUGGAGUUGGACUAGAAGACUUCCAAGAUCCCUUCCAGCUUCAUUCUCUGAUUGACUGAGCUUUUGCUUCAGAGACGUCUCCCAAAUAGAUUGGAAAGCAUCAGUGACAGCCAAGUAGAGAAGCUCAUGAGACUGAUAGAUGCAUUUAAGCCAACAAUGAUAUCACCACACACAUUUCAUUAUAUGCUCACACCCGUGUGUCCCUCUGGCUCUCUGCUCUUUCCCUUCCAAAUCUGAGAUGGAAGUAAUGGGGUCUGCAUGUAGCCUUUAGAUUUGCAUCUAGAUCAGGCCCCCGCUUAAGUGGGGACAGGUGAUUGUCCAGUCUCUUCUUAAAGAUCUCCAGGGAUGGGACGUCCACGAUUUCUGGAGGCAAGCUAUUCCACUGGUUGAUUGUCCUCA